AUUGAACGCUGGCGGCAGGCCUAACACAUGCAAGUCGAGCGGAUGAAGGGAGCUUGCUCCUGGAUUCAGCGGCGGACGGGUGAGUAAUGCCUAGGAAUCUGCCUGGUAGUGGGGGAUAACGCCCGGAAACGGGCGCUAAUACCGCAUACGUCCUGAGGGAGAAAGUGGGGGAUCCUCGGACCUCACGCUAUCAGAUGAGCCUAGGUCGGAUUAGCUAGUUGGUGGGGUAAAGGCCUACCAAGGCGACGAUCCGUAACUGGUCUGAGAGGAUGAUCAGUCAGAAUGGAAGUAGAUAACGGAACGGACAACUGCGGGAGGCAGCCGUGGGGAAUAUGGGACAACGGUCGGAAGCUUGAUACAGACAUGACGUGGGUGAGAAGAGGAACUUCUGAUUGUAAUGAUGUUUGAGCUGGAAGAAAGGGCAGAAAGUUAAUACCUUGCUGUCUUGACGCUACCGACAGAAUAAGCACCGGCUAACUACGUG
rnacentral:rRNA from 1 species